AGUUCCCUUGAAGAAGGAAACAUAACAGGCUCCAUCUUGAAAGCAGGACUCCAUCUUGGGCUGGACUGUGGACUUUGAGCUCUAUCCUCGGUAUCUAUGGAAACAACAUACCAAAUGGAAAACCAGGCCCCCAGAAGGAAGAGCCCCAGGGCUCACCAUGCCCAAAAGAG